GUUCCUCAGCCUCCUCCAGCUCAUGCUGAGCUUUUCGGAAUUUCGUGAGAUGAACGUUGGCUUGUUCAUCCUGAAACCAAAGAGGUCAAGCAGAUCCUGCAAUCUCAGCACAUUUUUCCUGUCCUCUUCACUCUAAAAAUGAGACAAUGAAGAUGAUUCGAGAGGAGAGGGGCAGAACUGCGCAAGACAGGCUGGCUUUCUUGGCUUAAGUGUUUCUUCCAAUGUGUGGGUGGAGACUCCAAGGCUGGUGUGCACCUUCCGGAGAAAAUGCCUGCUGGGCGUCUUCCCACUCACCUGGUACCCUGGUCUCCAGCUUCUGGAUCUGCUUCUUGCCGCCCUUCAGCGCCAGCUGCUCGGCCUCAUCCAGACGGUGCUGCAGGUCCUUCACCG